rnacentral:rRNA from 1 species
GACGAACGCUGGCGGCGUGCUUAACACAUGCAAGUCGAACGAAGUGGCGAACGGGUGAGUAACGCGUAAUCAACCUGCCCUUCAGCGGGGGACAACAGUUGGAAACGACUGCUAAUACCGCAUACCGAAGGGGGGGUUUGCGUCGGAUUAGCUCGUUGGAGGGGUAACGGCCAACCAAGGCGAUGAUCAGUAGCCGGUUCGGGAGGAUGAACGGCCAGAUUGGGACUGGAACAAGGGCCAGAAUCCUACGGGAGGCAAGAGUGGGGAAUUUUCCGAAAUGGACGGAAGUCUGACGGGGCAACGCCGCGUGAGGGAGAACAGCCUUCGGGUUGUAAAGCUCUGUUAAGCGGGAAGCGGUACCGGAAUAGAAAGCCACGGCUAACUACGUGCCAGCAGCCGCGGUAAUAC